rnacentral:rRNA from 2 species
AUACAUGCAAGUCGAGCGAACUGAUUAGAAGCUUGCUUCUAUGACGUUAGCGGCGGACGGGUGAGUAACACGUGGGCAACCUGCCUGUAAGACUGGGAUAACUUCGGGAAACCGAAGCUAAUACCGGAUAGGAUCUUCUCCUUCAUGGGAGAUGAUUGAAAGAUGGUUUCGGCUAUCACUUACAGAUGGGCCCGCGGUGCAUUAGCUAGUUGGUGAGGUAACGGCUCACCAAGGCAACGAUGCAUAGCCGACCUGAGAGGGUGAUCGGCCACACUGGGACUGAGACACGGCCCAGACUCCUACGGGAGGCAGCAGUAGGGAAUCUUCCGCAAUGGACGAAAGUCUGACGGAGCAACGCCGCGUGAGUGAUGAAGGCUUUCGGGUCGUAAAACUCUGUUGUUAGGGAAGAACAAGUACAAGAGUAACUGCUUGUACCUUGACGGUACCUAACCAGAAAGCCACGGCUAACUACGUGCCAGCAGCCGCGGUAAUACGUAGGUGGCAAGCGUUAUCCGGAAUUAUUGGGCGUAAAGCGCGCGCAGGCGGUUUCUUAAGUCUGAUGUGAAAGCCCACGGCUCAACCGUGGAGGGUCAUUGGAAACUGGGGAGCUUGAGUGCAGAACAAAAAAGCGGAAUUCCCCCUGUAGCGGUGAAAUGCGUAUAGAUGGGGGAGGAACAACCAGUGUAGAAAGCCGCGUUUUCUCCUCA